CCUACGGGUGGCAGCAGUGGGGAAUAUUGGGCAAUGGAGGCAACUCUUACCCAGCAAUGCCGCGUGAAUGAAGAAGGUCUUCGGAUUGUAAAGUUCUUUAAUUGGGGACGAAAAAAAUGACGGUACCUGACUAAGAAGCCCCGGCUAACUACGUGCCAGCAGCCGCGGUAAUACGUAGGGGGCAAGCGUUAUCCGGAUUUACUGGGUGUAAAGGGAGCGUAGACGGCGAUGCAAGUCUGAAGUGAAAGGCGGGGGCCCAACCUCCGGACUGCUUUGGAAACUGUAUGGCUGGAGUGCAGGAGAGGUAAGUGGAAUUCCUAGUGUAGCGGUGAAAUGCGUAGAUAUUAGGAGGAACACCAGUGGCGAAGGCGGCUUACUGGACUGUAACUGACGUUGAGGCUCGAAAGCGUGGGGAGCAAACAGGAUUAGAUACCCCAGUAGUC
rnacentral:rRNA from 1 species